rnacentral:lncRNA from 1 species
AGACACCAUACCGAUAAUGUAAAUGCUAGACAGCUGUCGGGAGGUGGGUUUUACGCCCCAGGCGAACCAGCAACAACUCCCUACUGUCACAUGCAUAUGCAGGAUAAGACACCACACUGAUCCUGUAAAUGCUGGCCAGUAUCCAGAACAGAAAUCCAUAGAAACAUCUCACAUCUAUAUACUAAACGGCACCUCGCGGGAAUUCUACAUCCGUGUAAAGCCAUACUGCACCUCGCGGGGUCUUACUAUGCCCGGCGGCAAGCAGAAUAUAAGUCGUAG